AUGGGUGGACGAGGUGCACAGAGCUGCUGGCUGCUCCUCACGCUCUCUCUGAAAGGUAUUCUUGCAGGGGAUUGGUCCGUUCAUCUCCCUUCCGGUCCCGUCUGUGCCUUGAUUGGCUCUUCGGUGGUUCUCCCUUGUUCCUAUGACUACCCCCAGAGUUCGAAUGAAAGCAGGGCGGAGGGGCGGCUCCCUACUCAGGGUGGAGGAGGUGAAGAGGAACCGUACAAAGUUUUGUCCGAGAUGUGGUGUCGCGAAGACAGCCGCUGUCUCACCCAGAGGUAUGUGUUCCACAGUGCUGGUGUUUUCCCAGAUCCGUCCUACCACAACAGGGUGCGGCACCUGGGACAAGCGGGAACAAAGAACUGUUCCCUGAAGAUCUCUGAUCUGAGAGCGUCGGACAGUGGAACGUACGUGUUUUACCUCAUCACCAGUCAUCCGACACAGAAGAUGCCGGCAGAGAGGCAUACAGCUGCUGGUGGCAGGUGGGGAAUCGUUCAUGCACUGCGGAAACAGAAAUUGUAAAGCACCAUUUGAAAUUGGCAAAAAAAAAAAUCACAAUAGCACCGCACCGUAGUUUGAAUAUGACACGGUCAGGCUUUAACAUUUGUAACACACGGCGCUCAAGGGUGAGGUUAUGUGUGCUUAUAAACUGAAUGUCUCAAAAUGUCCAUUGCACUGGUAGCCAGAGAAAUAAAACCAAAGUGAUACAGAGUGAUGCUGGGGGGAAAAAGAAACAGAGUUAAUUCUUUAAAGGGCUGGUGACGGUGUUUGGCAUGAAUUAGUUUGCAUCUUGUAUCUAUUAUAUCUACCAAAGAUGAUAGACCCUUUUAACAGAAGGUGCCAACCUGAAAACAUUUUUUUCUCCCCUUUUUCAUAAUCAUGUGAAGAGUUGAUGUUAUUGCACCAUGAGAACCAUCACACAGUCUGUGUACUAAAACCACUUCCUGCCUGCAAACCUUAGUUGGACACAUUUGCUAUUUUUGAGAAGUAGAACUGAUCUGAAACUGCACAUAUAUCUUUAUGAGAUCAGCUUGACCAAUAAAAUUGUUACAUUGAUAUUCGGAAAACAAAUUUCUUUCACGACCAAACAUGUGGCCACAAACUGUAAUUUUGUCUUUGUUGAACGUAAAAAAAAGGGGGAUCUUAAGUUGUUAGGGCCUGUUGACAGCGAGUCUCAUUUUGAAUGCGUGGUUAGUGUUUGAAAAGUGGUGCUGUUGCUCCGCCACAAACGUUCCCUUAAGCAAUUAUUGAGGAACAUGUGUGUGAAGUCAUACACUUGUUUUUGUCCCGUUUCUUUCUGCUCCCACGUUGUGUCGUAACUGCACGCUUAAUCAAACAAAGGAAAAAAUACAGUAGAAAUAGAAUAGAAUAGUAAUUUGCUAAGGAAAAGAUGGAUAUUUGUAUUUGACAGAAAUAUUUUCAACUCAGAAUGUGAAUGAAUUUGUCGUUGGCACAUUGUAUUAUUCAUGACAAACUUAUUAAAACCAUCACUUUGUGUCAAAUGAAUCGAAACCAAUGAGACAGAGUUCAUAUCCUCAGUGUAUUUGUUUGGGUGCAUUUUCAAUUUUCAGAACUACACCUUACACCCAGUGGGUUUCUAUUAUGAAUAUAUGAAUUAAUGGACAAAUAUUUUGUAUACCUGCUG
ensembl:lncRNA